GCACUGAAAGAGGCAGUAUAAGACCCUAUUCGCUUUGCUCACUCUCUCACUUGUGAAACUCGUCUGCUCCAUCCUCUCCUCUCUCCCUCCAUUGAGGAAGGGAAAAGGGAAAGGACCUUGGCAGACCAUCCACAGCUCCCCAGCUCUUAGUUCCAGGCUGAUAAGAGCGCCGAAUCUUUUCCAUCUCCGGACACGCCUUCUCACACGCAGCAGAGGCAGUGGAACCAUUCCAAGCAUUCUAGGAUUGAAUUCCAGGGGGCUAGCUGAGGGCUCGAUUCUGUCAGAAUGGCAGCCAGGAGUGGAGGCACUCGGCCCCACUGGCUCGCGGUGAUUCAAUUCGUGGCUUUGGUGGCAACCGUGGGCAAUGCUGCAACGCCCGCACUAGCAGAAGCUGAAGGAGGCGCUGAAACCAAGACUUACACUUACAGCUCUCCACCACCGCCAUCACCGGUUUACGAGUACAAGUCUCCCCCUCCGCCGGUCUAUGAGUACAAAUCGCCGCCCCCCCCUCCGCCGGUUUACAAGUACAAAUCGCCGCCACCUCCUCCGCCUUACUACUACAAAUCUCCGCCUCCGCCUCCUCCCUACAAGUAUGAAUCGCCGCCUCCGCCUCCCUACAAGUACGAGUCGCCGCCUCCACCACCGUACUAUUACAAAUCACCUCCGCCGCCCCCCUACAAGUAUGAAUCGCCACCACCUCCACCAUACAAGUAUGAAUCGCCGCCGCCACCCACCAUACAAGUACGAAUCGCCGCCGCCACCACCAUACAAGUAUGAAUCGCCGCCGCCACCUCCGUACAAGUAUGAAUCGCCGCCGCCACCACCAUACAAGUAUGAAUCGCCUCCUCCACCACCAUAUAAGUACGAAUCGCCACCGCCACCACCAUACAAGUACGAGUCGCCUCCUCCACCUCCAUAUUACUACAAAUCUCCACCCCCGCCACCACCUUACUACUACAAAUCACCACCACCACCUUCUCCUGUCUACAAAUAUAAAUCUCCACCACCACCACCUUACAAGUACGAAUCUCCUCCUCCACCUCCAUACUAUUACAAGUCUCCACCACCACCGCCAUAUUACUACAAGUCUCCACCACCACCACCUCCAGUUUACAAAUACAAAUCUCCUCCUCCGCCACCAUAUUACUACAAAUCACCACCUCCUCCAUCACCAGUAUAUUACUACAAAUCUCCUCCUCCACCAGCGUAUUACUACAAAUCUCCCCCACCGCCUGUCUACUAUUACAAAUCCCCGCCACCUCCAGCUUACCACUACCAAUCGCCACCCCCACCAAGUUACAAGCUGGUAGUGGUCACGGGCAAGGUCUAUUGCAACAGAUGCUGGAACACCACAAGCAGAUACUUCAGGCAUCACCACAUGGGUCUGCUAGGUGGCAAAGUGAAGAUCACAUGUGGCGAAUCUUACUACUACGGCUACACCAACAAGCAUGGAAUCUUUAGAAUUGAGCUCCCGCACCAAUCCUGGGAAGACGCAAGCAGCUGCAAGGCCAAGAUUAUCAAGAGCAGCUACAUCAAGUCGUCAUGCAAUGUCAUCACGGACUACAGGUCUGGUGCAACAGGGGCCAAGCUCAAGUUCAAAUCGAAAACAGAGAAGGAGCUCGUCUUGACAGCCGGUCCUUUCAUCUAUGCAACUCCAGAGCCAUCGUCAGUCUGCUUCUACACAUCACCUCCCUAUGAGUACAAGUCACCUCCGCCACCAACACCGGUCUACCAUUACGCCUCUCCGCCACCUCCGGUCUACUACUACAAAUCGCCACCUCCUCCGGUUUACUACUACAAAUCCCCUCCUCCUCCUUCGCCGGUCUACUAUUACAAAUCCCCGCCUCCACCACCAUACUAUUACAAGUCCCCACCUCCACCUCCGCCUAAUUAUUACUACAAGUCGCCCCCACCACCGUCUCCAUACUAUUACAAAUCCCCGCCCCCUCCACCGUACUAUUACAAAUCCCCACCACCACCUCCCUACAAAUACGAAUCGCCGCCUCCUCCUCCUUACAAAUACGAGUCCCCGCCUCCACCACCUUACUAUUACAAGUCCCCACCACCACCUCCAUACAAAUAUGAAUCCCCGCCACCUCCAGUCUACAAAUAUGAGACUCCGCCACCCCCAGUUUACAAAUACAAGUCGCCACCACCACCAUACAAGUACGAGUCACCACCACCACCUCCAUACAAGUAUGAAUCCCCGCCACCUCCACCUUAUUACUACAAGUCCCCUCCACCACCACCAUACAAGUACGAGUCGCCACCACCUCCUCCGUACAAGUAUGAAUCUCCACCACCACCAGUUUACAAAUACAAGUCACCUCCGCCACCACCUUAUUACUACAAAUCCCCACCGCCACCUCCAUACAAGUACGAGUCUCCACCUCCUCCUCCGUACAAGUAUGAAUCUCCACCACCACCACCUUAUUACUACAAAUCCCCCCCGCCACCUCCAUACAAGUACGAAUCUCCACCACCGCCAGUUUACAAAUACAAGUCACCCCCGCCACCACCUUAUUACUACAAAUCCCCGCCGCCACCUCCAUACAAGUACGAGUCUCCACCUCCUCCUCCGUACAAGUAUGAAUCUCCACCACCACCUCCUUAUUACUACAAAUCCCCGCCGCCACCUCCCUACAAGUAUGAAUCCCCGCCACCACCUCCCUACAAAUACGAGUCACCACCCCCACCACCUUACUAUUACAAAUCUCCUCCACCGCCUCCAUACAAGUAUGAGUCGCCGCCACCACCAGUCUACAAAUACGAGUCUCCGCCACCCCCAGUUUACAAAUACAAGUCGCCCCCUCCACCUUAUUACUACAAGUCUCCGCCACCCCCACCAUACAAAUAUGAAUCCCCACCUCCACCUCCCUACAAGUAUGAAUCGCCUCCUCCUCCACCUUACUACUACAAGUCCCCUCCACCACCUCCCUACAAAUAUGAAUCCCCGCCACCACCUCCAUAUAAAUACGAGUCACCACCACCACCACCUUACUAUUACAAAUCUCCUCCACCGCCUCCAUACAAGUAUGAGUCGCCACCACCACCUCCCUACAAAUACGAGUCACCACCACCACCACCUUACAAGUAUGAAUCCCCACCUCCACCUCCGUACAAAUACGAGUCACCACCACCACCACCUUACAAGUAUGAAUCCCCACCUCCACCUCCGUACAAGUAUGAGUCACCUCCACCGCCUCCAUACAAGUAUGAAUCCCCUCCACCACCUCCCUACAAAUACGAGUCACCACCCCCACCACCUUAUUACUACAAAUCGCCUCCGCCACCAGAGUAUCAAUCACCUCCUUACAUGUAUAAAUCUCCACCUCCGCCCUCGUACUAGGAGCUAAGGAGCAUUUGAUUUUCAGGUUGUAAGAAGAGGACGUCGAAGUAGCUACGGAUGUGUAGAUUGGGAUCCCGUUGGCUUUGAGUAGCAAUUUGUUUCCACCAUUGAAGUUUUCUCUCCGCAAUCUUCUCAAGGCGCUCACAAGGCGCUCAGGGGCAGUUUUGAAGUGCAGCGGGACCCCUGCAAAAUAAGCACAGGCUUGUCGAAAAGGUUGAGGAAGUUUGAGAGCUUUUGUUGGUUGCCAAUAAACACAGGGAAUUAGCGCAUAUGUGCGCCCUCCUGGCUUCCAGUUGUGAACGAUUCUGAAGUAAAUAAUUUGAUUCUGCGACUAGAAAGCAUGCUGGACCA